AUCUUGAAUUCCCACAUGUUGUGGGAGGGGCCUUGUGGGAGGUCACUGAAUUAUGAGUCUGGGUCUUUCCCACGCUGUUCUCAGGAUAGUGAAUAGGUCUCAUGAGAUCUGAUGGUUUUUAAAAUGGGAAUUUCCCUGCACAAGCCCUCUUCUCUUGUCUGCCACCGUGUGAGACACGCCUUUCACCUUCCACCAUGAUUGUGAGGCCUCCCCAGCCAUGUGGAACUGUAAGUCCAUUAAACCUCUUUCUUUUGUAAAUUGUCCAGUCUCGAGUAUGUCCUUAUCAGCAGCAUAAAAGUGGACUAAUACAAGGAUUUUCUAGACCACUUUGGCAGCCAUCACUGAAACCGGCCUGAAAUAUAUAUAACGGUCCUUCUCUUAUGUUCAAGCCAAUUUGAAUGGAAGGAGAUUUCUUUAUUUCAGAUAUCCUCACUAAUUAAUGCUCUACAAUAGCAUAAAUUUCUUGUGGUCCAAAUCCUUUUCUUUUAAAAGUCACUAAGUGGCCAGGCAUGGUAGCUCACACUUGUAAUCCCAGCACUUUGGGAGGCCGAGGCAGGUGGAUCACCUGUGGUCAGCAGUUCGAGACCAUCCUGGCCAACAUAGGGAGCCUUCAUCUCUAAAAGAAAUAUAUAAUUCAUGAAUACUAACAGUUUAUGGUUUUUUUAGUCAUACAGUUCAAAUGCCUUCUACUAAUUUUAAACAGCAUCUGGAUUUUAAAGGAGCAAAAUUCAAAAGAAAAAAGCUUGAAAAUCCUUCACUGGAAAAACCUGCCCAUUAAAAAAAAAUAAGACCAAAGCUCAAUUCUCACCUGGUUCCAAAAACCAUUUGAAUUCAGCAUAUCAUGUGUUGGAUUUUAGAAUGGAGUAAGCAGAGAAACAGAGGGAAAACAGCAACAUGUGUAAGUGAUCACCAAAAAAAUAGCCCGUUUCCAAUACUGAAAAAAACAUGGCUUGUACAUAGGUCACAGAACAAAUCAGACGAAACCAAAGUGCCAAGUCACAACUUAAAGGAAAAGAAUCCACGAGGGACCUUCGUGAGCAGAUGGAUUAGAAAGGCUAAGUUUCAACUCAUGAAGACUUGAACCUACGCUAUCUGAAAUAGCCAGUCAAUAACAUUAAUAAUAAUCAUAAGACUCUGAAAACUACAGCUGGGGGGAUUAAGCCAAAUGGAGAAGCAAGGGACUGAACAAGAGAAGGGACUUUCCACAGAAUUACUGAAAACAACAAUCUGGUAAUGAGGGAGUUGCUUCUUUCUGCUGGAGUGAAAUUCCUCUACAAUGUUUUUCCUUUGUGGCUGCAUUUUCUAGCAUCAGUAGGAGUACCUUCUGAAGAGAGUAAGUCCAGUUCACUAUUGAAUCUGCAUUCAAAGAUGCCAGUAAGCAGAUUUGGAAACUGAAGCAAAGACCUUAA
rnacentral:lncRNA from 1 species